rnacentral:rRNA from 1 species
UGUUUAUCAAAAACAUCGCCUCUUGCUAAAAAAGAAGUAUUAGAGGUCCCGCCUGCCCUGUGACCACAGUGUUUAACGGCCGCGGUAUCCUGACCGUGCGAAGGUAGCGUAAUCACUUGUCUUUUAAAUGAAGACCUGUAUGAAUGGCAUCACGAAGGUUCAACUGUCUCCUUCCCCCAGUCAAUGAAAUUGAUCUGCCCGUGCAGAAGCGGACAUAAAAACAUAAGACGAGAAGACCCUGUGGAGCUUUAGGCCAAGGAUCAAACAUGUAAAACAGACUCAAACCCUAAAAAGAAUAAUAAAAGUCCAAAAACCAAGAGUAACCUGAUCCUAAUGCCUUCGGUUGGGGCGACCGCGGGGGAAAAUAAAGCCCCCACAUGGAAUGGAACUACUUCCUAAACCAAGAGUUACAACUCUAAGUAACAGAAUUUCUGACCACCUAUGACCCAGGACAAACAUAAACCUGAUCAAUGAACCAAGUUACCCCAGGGAUAACAGCGCAAUCCUUUCCCAGAGUCCAUAUCGACGAAAGGGUUUACGACCUCGAUGUUGGAUCAGGACAUCCUAAUGGUGCAGCCGCUAUUAAGGGUUCGUUUGUUCAACGAUUAAUAGUCCUACGUGAUCUGAGU